rnacentral:rRNA from 1 species
UACGUAGGGGGCUAGCGUUGCUCGGAAUCACUGGGCGUAAAGCGCACGUAGGCGGAUUGCUAAGUCACGGGGUGAAAUCCUGGAGCUCAACUCCAGAACUGCCUUUGAUAACUGGCGAUCUUGAGUCCGGGAGAGGUGAGUGGAACUGCGAAGUGUAGAGGUGAAAUUCGUAGAUAUUCGCAAGAACACCAGUGGCGAAGGCGGCUCACUGGCCCGGUACUGACGGCUGAGGCACGAAAG